rnacentral:rRNA from 1 species
AUGCGGGCCCUUUUCUGGAACAUCCGCGGCUUUGGCCAUGAUGGCCGUCGUCGCCAACUCAUUGAGUACAUGCGUGACGAACACAUUGACAUCAUUGCCAUCCAGGAAACCUUGCGCACUGAGUUCUCCCUUCAAGAGCUUGAACGUCUUAGUUCCCACCUCUUCGCUUGGCACUGGCUCCCUUCUAGUGGGACCACAGGCCACUCUGGUGGCAUCCUUUUAGGGGUAAAGGAUGCCACCUUUGAGGUGGGCGGCAUGGACCGAGGUGAAUUCUUCGUUAGUAUGGAGAUCUUCGAGCGUGCCCUGAACUUCAAAUGGGAGGUCAUAAUUGUAUACGGACCGGCGGACCACUGCCACUCCCCGGCCUUCCUAGCGGAGCUGCAGCUGAAGAUCUCUAACUCCCUCCUCCCAGUUGUAGUGGGCGGAGACUUUAACCUCAUC